CGCUUUAUUCCUUCCCCUUCCACUUCUAAACAAUUCCAUCCUAAAACUACCAGAUUAGACAAAGAAAAGCAAGCCUCUGCACAGGGGUUUGGAGCAAGAUGGUGUCUCUCGCCCUGUCUCCAGGCUAGAGUGCAGUGGUGCGAUCUCGGCUCACUACAACUCCUACCUCCUGAGUUCAAGCGAUUCUCCUGCCUCAGCCUCCCGAGUAGCCAGGACUACAGUGUCGAGGUCAUGAAAGCCACUGAAAGACUGAGAACUGUUCCAGAAAGGAGACUAGAGAGACAUGGCAGCCAAAUGCUCCACAUAAUCCUGUCCUGGAUUCUUCUCCUACAAAGGAAGGGGUCUGAGGAUUAGGUGGUAGUACUGAAUCAAGGAACUAUCAUCUCCUAUUGUGCUGUAGGCAAACUUGAGUGACAUGGUGGAAGCCACCAGAGAGAAUAUCUGAAGCAAUUCAUUAAAAUCUUGGCAGCCAGACCCCAGCUCCCACUUUCCCUGAAAGCUCCCUUUAAUGAAGCUGAACGCUGUCCCAGCAAUUCCCUCCACAGAAGACCUACUGUCACCACCUCUGGAGGGGCAAUUCCUGGAGGAACCAAGUCAGCCAAUCGAAGGUCCUGAAUAAGCAAAAACUAAGUAAAUAAAUUACCAUCUCGAAAGUGAUGGGUUAGUGUGCUCUUUUGAAUGCCCCGUAGGAAAAUAAAUUUGAUUAAAAUUAAAUAUUUUGUUGUACGAUGUAAUGCUCAAAUUCAGGGGAUUCUGGUGUCCCUCUGGACAGUGUCAGUUGUUGGGGGAGGAGGGAAAUGCCAGCUGUC
rnacentral:lncRNA from 10 species